GGCCUCGUAGUUCAGUUGGCUAGAGCGUUGGCUGUACUAAAGCCUUCCCCUUGCUGGUGUGGGUUCGAAUCCCUACGAGGCCA
rnacentral:tRNA from 1 species